rnacentral:lncRNA from 1 species
GCCAAGGUAUAGUAAUCGGGGCAGACAAUUCAUAUGGAUUAAUGCGGAAUUCGUUUCCUGUCGUGCGUCACGUCAGAAGUCGGUUAGCGUUUUUUCUGACACUACUUGUUCGGACGUGUCAAAGAUGAUCGACUUAUCUUAUCUAUGCGGCCUGUCGGAAGCUGUCUUUGACAAGCUCAUAUAAGAUGCGUCAGCAAUGAAAGGCCCUGCAAUGCAAGGACGAUGAUUUUUGUAGCAAUGAAGAGGCAAGAAAAUGCAUCCAAAGUUCGUGUGAGGAAGGUGGGAUAGUUUGGAUGUACACAAUCCUACCGUAGUAUAUGUGGUCAUGUUGAUACAAGUUGCUCGUCAGCAGCCAUUGAGUGCAACUCGGCGAAUAAUUAUUGGUAUCCCAUCCACAUGACUACAUGUACUACCUACGAGAAAUGAUUAUGGGCCCAAGAGAAAAAAAAAACGGCUUGAACUUUUAUGUGAAAAUAGGUACAGUAACUACUGCCAAGGAUGAUUUUGGGCCAAAUGUCAUGUCAUAUUCAUCGUAGCAGAUCUGAGAUACAUAAGCCGGGCGAUGAUUACCCGAAAAAAAAAGAUACAUAAGACGAUUAGCAGCAGGUCAACAUCGGCUAUGAUUUCCCGCAA